rfam:Triticum aestivum genome assembly, contig: Triticum_aestivum_CS42_TGACv1_scaffold_646276_T_3DL-0.134134_2BS-0.116249
ACGCUACUCCCUCCGUUCGGAAUUACUCGUCCAAGAAAUGAAUGUAUCUAGAUGUAUUUUACUUGUAGUUACAUCCAUUUUUGUGACAAGUAAUUCCGAACGGAGGGAGUAGCUA